rnacentral:rRNA from 1 species
GACGAACGCUGGCGGCGUGCUUAACACAUGCAAGUCGAACGAAGUGGCGAACGGGUGAGUAACGCGUAAUCAACCUGCCCUUCAGUGGGGGACAACAGUUGGAAACGACUUCUAAUCCCGCAUACUGAAGUAGGGGCUUGCGUCUGAUUAGCUAGUUGGAGGGGUAACGGCCCACCAAGGCGAUGAUCAGUAGACGGUCUGAGGGGGUGGACGGGCAAAAUGGGACUGGGACACCGGCCAGACUCCUACGGGGAGGAGCAGGUGGGAAUCUUCCGCAAUGGAGGGAAGUCUGACGGGGCAAAGCCGCGUGAGUGAUGACGGCCUUCGGGUUGGAAAGCUCUGUUAAUCGGGAAGCGGUACCGGAAUAGAAAGCCACGGCUAACUACGUGCCAGCAGCCGCGGUAAUAC